ensembl:lncRNA
CACACAGCACAGAUGAUGGCUGCUUUCCCCAUGAGGAUCAGGAAAUAGAUGAUGGAGAAGAGCACAAAGAGGAGGAACUGGAUGUCUCUCAGGCAGGGGAAGGCCAGAACGAACUCACUCACAGACCCAGAGACAGUGUUCCGACUCUCCAGAUGGCCACACCCUGACUGGACUCAUUGGAGGGACGGACCAACUCACCAGGAACGGCCACAGGAUCAGACUCUGAAGCCUGUCUCUGGAGAUCUCAACCCCAGGAGCAAUGGAAGCAAUUAAUAUGCAUCAUAUAGACUCAAAGAUGUUUUAUCUUCAGUGAUGAUCAGAUUGGAGAUAAAAACCACAUGCGUGUGCACACACUUAUAUAUAGACUCACAUGCAAACACGCAUACAUGCAAACAUAUACACCCAAAUAUUCUAGGCUCGCACAUUAUUGCUCCCUCAAGAGUUGUGUCUCCUAACUUUGUAAAUUACUUCUUAGCUAACAAAGAUUUUGACAUGAUAUGUACCAUUACCUUCAAGCUUUGUUAGAUCUAGAAUUUCCCAUUCCUGUGGUCCAAAUGCAAUUUAAAGAUCUCAUCCACUGAAUCCAAAAUGAGCCUGUUAGGUAGUUGAAAUUGGAAAAAGGAGUCCAGAAGGGCGGUGGCUAAAAGAGAAAGAAGGGAAAGGCCCCCCAAACAAAGGAAGGUCCAAGGACCGGAGUGAGGACCUCAGGUAAAACAAACAGCACUCCUGGCUAGCUCAAUUUACAUAGGGCAGGCCAAGGGAGAGGAGAAAAACAUACAAAAAGAGGAGCCAAAGGACUGG